rnacentral:rRNA from 1 species
GAAAGAUUCAUCGGAAGAGGAUGGGCAUGCGGCGCAUUAGCUUGACGGCGGGGUAACGGCCCACCGUGGCGACGAUGCGUAGGGGUUCUGAGAGGAAGGUCCCCCACACUGGUACUGAGACACGGACCAGACUCCUACGGGAGGCAGCAGUGAGGAAUAUUGGUCAAUGGGAGAGAUCCUGAACCAGCCGAGCCGCGUGAGGGAAGACGGCCCUAUGGGUUGUAAACCUCUUUUGUCGGAGAACAAAACCCGGGACGUGUCCCGGACUGCGUGUAUCCGAAGAAAAAGCAUCGGCUAACUCCGUGCCAGCAGCCGCGGUAAUACGGAGGAUGCGAGCGUUAUCCGGAUUUAUUGGGUUUAAAGGGUGCGUAGGCGGUCCGUUAAGUCAGCGGUAAAAUUGCGGGGCUCAACCCCGUCGAGCCGUUGAAACUGGCAGACUUGAGUUGGCGAGAAGUACGCGGAAUGCGCGGUGUAGCGGUGAAAUGCAUAGAUAUCGCGCAGAACUCCGAUUGCGAAGGCAGCGUACCGGCGCCAGACUGACGCUGAGGCACGAAAGCGUGGGGAUCGAACAGGAUUAGAUACCCUGGUAGUCCACGCAGUAAACGAUGAAUGCUGGUUGUCCGGGUCGAAUGAGACCUGG